rnacentral:rRNA from 1 species
AUGGACGGCAACAAGAAGCUUGUGAUGGGCGCUCUACAAUGCCUGCUUCACCUUGGGCCACGCGGUCACCUACGCACUCCUCCAGGUACUCUACGCAACUACAACAGCUUCGCUGGAUGCUGGACAUUCCGAAUUUCCGAUGGAUUCAUCAUGUUGAUGCUUGGGUGUGGACCGUGGUGUGGUGUUGGUCUGCGUGGGGGUGGGUGCAGUCCUCCUUCGCCCUGCGGUGCGUCCAGUGGACGGACACCAAGGCCGCCCAGGAGAGCGCCCUCUGUCUCUGGAUGCUGCGCUGCGCCGUACUCCAGGUGGCCGCGGCGGCGCUGGCGUUGCACCUGUCGUGCCGCCGCCGCUGGGUCCGCCGCGCCCUGGCCUACCUCGCGCUCAUGGUCGCCUUCGUCGCCCACUGCAUGUACGUCGCCGCCGUCCGCCUCCUCCUCGCCGCUGACUGCCCUGGAUACGUCUUGCUCUGGAUACGUCUUGCUCAGGAUCUUGUGCACCGCGUACAUCGCCUUCUUCCUAGGGGGCGACCUGCUCUGCUUCCUGGGCCUCAUCCUGGGAGGUGACAACUGA